rnacentral:rRNA from 1 species
UACGGAGGGUGCAAGCGUUGUCCGGAAUUAUUGGGCGUAAAGAGCUCGUAGGCGGCCACUCAAGUCGAAUGUGAAACCUCGAGGCUUAACCUCGAGCCUGCAUUCGAUACUGGGCGGCUAGAGUCUGGUAGGGGGAUCUGGAAUUCCUGGUGUAGCGGUGGAAUGCGCAGAUAUCAGGAGGAACACCGGUGGCGAAGGCGGGAUCCUGGGCCAGUACUGACGCUGAGGAGCGAAAGCGUGGGGAGCAAACAGG